ensembl:lncRNA
GGCCAAUGACACACACACACACACACACACACACACACACACACACACACACACACACACACACACACACACACACACACACACACACACACACACACACACACUGUGUGAGAGUCAGUGAACUCAUUUCGGAUCAUGGGACUAGGAUUAGGACCACUGGAGAUCUGACACACACUCAUUCUUGCUCUAAAGGUCAGCCUCCAGUGCCUUGAGAACUUCCUCUGCCUCUUCCACUGUGUGCGUAAAGUCCACCUCCAUGUUACCCAGGACCUGCUGACCUUCUGUGAAGUCAUGGCACGGGCCGGAAAACCAACCCAUAUUCUAAGGUCCUGCCUCAAUAAGAGGCUCUAUUGUGACCGCGAGGAAACGGCAGUGGCGUGCUCUAGGCCAGGGGCAGCUCGUCCACAUUCCCCAGGGCCGGCCCAGCCGAGUCCCAUGUGACAUCACAUGCUUCCAUGGGAUGCAUGGAUCCGCUGCAAAUCUGGAAAGCUUUCAUUCGCCAUGGCAAUUUGAUGGAAUUUCAGCCGCAGAAGGAAGAAGAAAAGUCAGUCGGUCGCCCCCGAGGGAGCUAUGCCGACACAGGCAGGCGAGCAGGGGUUUACCUUGGAUUCGCGGAGGAGAGAAGAUGGCCGAGAGACGGACGCUGAGGCCUCCGGUGCUGGGUGAGACAGCAGCGUGGCCUAUUGUCUCGAAGGGCGUUAGGAGCGAGUGCGUUGGGCCGUUAAAGCGGUUUCGAAGGGCUUACCGUUGACUGUUUAUCAUGAUCUGGCCUCUGCUAGUAAGUCUUGCUGCUGUUACUUGUAUGGCGUGAGGCUCUUGUUCGGAGCAGUUUCUGAACACAUAAUGUGAGCGAGUGUGUUUUUUAAUCGUAGGGUUUGGUAUGAUUUUGUUAUCUGGUUGGAAUAGAACACGUCGCCGUAGUACCGUUUGUUUUCUGCCACUGCCAGGAAUAGAUAUUAAUGACCUUCAUUCAUUCAAGUUCUCGCUUUAAUAUUUGCCACUACCAGCAAGAUCUGGGAUGGUACUGAUAUCUGCGUUGGUAUCAGACGUGUGUCUCUGUAGUACCAUUUUCUUUCUUUUUUUGCCAUUGCCAUAAAUAGAUAUUUCUGAAAAGUUUCUUACGUGCCUGCUCGAAAACUAUCCAUAUUUAUAGAAAGCCAUUCAGGUUGACAGGACGGCUGCUGUCACUUCAGGGGGUUGCAGUACAUUACAUAAGCCUGAUUAUGCAGCUACAUUCAGUUCUUUCUCCUUUUAACAUCGUCCAAGACGAGCUGUACACUAACCUAGGAUCAAACCUAAUCACAGUAUCAAAGAUUAAAACGUCUUCGUUUACAG